GUGGUUUGUCGUGUUGACACCUGCACAUGAAAAACAUCGCGUGUGGGAAUAUUGUACUACCAUAAAUGCAUUUGUCAUUAUAUGACGCCGCCUCUAUUAAGUAAAAUAAGUUUAGAAGACAGAACAUAGCCAAGGUUUUAGACAAUUAAAGAAAAUGUGGUUUGCUCUUCGUAGCUUAGUGAUGUGGGCCUGUUAUGAGUAUGAUUAAAUGAAGCACAUUUUCAUCUUUCUCUUUGCUAAUUCUGAACGCGUUUGAUUAGUCAUUGUAUCAGCACCGACCGCCGCGCCAUGUGAUAUCGUAAGUUAUGUUUACUGUGUCUGAUCUGUUCAUCCGCCUUCUGGUCGCCUGUUUAUGCAUGUCUAAAUGUUUCUAAUGCUUCUGUCUAAAUGCGUUUGUACCGCUCCCUUGCAUUUAAUUGCCUUCCGUAUGUGGUGUGUGUGUGUAUGUAUAUAUCCGUGGAAUCAGGACUAUUCGGUUUGCUGUAUGGAGAAAUGUUGUGUUUAGCUGUUGUCCACUCUGCUGCUUCUAGAAAAUGGCAGAAUGAAAUGGGUAGAGUGUGGUUUGUGUCAUGUGAUUGUGUGCUUUGUGUUGUGGUACGUUGUAGAUUUUAAUAUAGAUAAAGUGUGAGUGUCGUCAAGAAAUUUAACACUAUAAUCCCUGUCAUAACUUAGAAUGAGUAGAUUAAGAGUGUGUUUAGCCUGGACACAGUGUGGAAACAACAUUCAAACAUGGAAAAGACACCUAGCUGCAGUAGUGACUGUCAGUAGUUGAAGAGAAAAAGCUCCAGAUGGCAGACACAAAAGUAAAAGCACCAUUACACUGAGAUAUUUUGGAAUGGUGACAAGACGGACGCAACUGUUUUGCUGUGCGGCUUCUUUUAAAACAUUGAUUUAAGGGAUUUGUUAUAGACAGUCAGUGCCUUGCGGAUAUUAAAGGGUCAGAAUUUCAUUUUCAGAGUUCAGACAUAUUAUUUUAUUAACUCUGAAAGGAAAAUGUGAUAUAUCACACAAGAUGAAUAUAUAAGUUAUAAUGGCCAUUUCGAGGGUUAAUGAUCAGUGUGGAAUUAAAAAUUUGUGGACUUUAUAUUGGUGAUCUGUGUUGCUGCUUAUCGGAUAAAUUUUUGGGAGUGACACUAGGUGUUGAGAGAGAGUGUUGAAGUGAAGCCGAUGAGCUGACGGUCUGAUAAGACUUAGAGGAUGGACAUUUAUCUAGUGGCAUCCGGUUCAACCAGAUACGGUUAUCACAGCGUUGUACGCUGUCACUGUUCCAAUGAAAUUAAUUUGUUACAGGAAAACAAAAGACUUUUACGUGGUUUUAAUUUAAUUCAGUGUUUUUGACGUAAUAUUGUAUUGUCACCAAAGCUGUUUUAUUUCUUAUUUCUUAAAGUUUACUUGCGACCUGACGUAGAUUCGCUUUUGAGAUGAAGGAGGAAAACUGAUUGAUUUGUUGAGUGUCCAACUGCUUUUGAAAGAUUUCAUGCAAUGUUUUUGUAUGGGUGUGAAAUUGGUCUCUCACCCUGGCUGAAGAAUAUAGAUUGAAGAUGUUUGAGAACAGGGUGCUGAUUGUAUUCGGUCCUAAAGAAAAGAAAGUAACACGAGGCUACAUAAUUAGAAUUGUUUUCUUAUUAUCAUCUUAACUUACGGUCAGUCGUCUGGUCUGUUCCAAUACAGAUUUAACUUCUGGAAUUAUAAAUCAUUUUAGACAUAAGACGGAGAAUUUGUCCAUCAUAAAGCUUCUAGUGAGACUGUAACACAAGUUUCCAGUGUUUGAGCUAUCGUAGACACUGCUCAUCGCCCUGAUGAUGGACGCAGAAUGGUCCUCUGAAACACUGGUAAUUUUUUACCAGACUACACGGCGCUACGACUGAGCAAACAACCAUCUUGAUGGGUUUAGAGUCAGUGGGAUAAAGAACGAGUUCCCUGGACUUUAUCACGAACAUUUUCAUGGUCCAUUUCGCUUUGAUUGGCAUCUGCAACAGUGUUAUUAAUUUCGACCUCUAAUGAAGCGUAGAAUUCUCCAUCUAUAUUGAUCGAAUGACGUCAGAAUUGACUAACUCCGGUUCUGUGCAGGGGGUUCGUAACGCGGGGACCGAGUGUGUCCGAAAGCUCUCUUAUAUCAUUCGGAAAUUCCUGGACGGAAUGAUAAAUUGCGUAGAGGGACCUCUACACUAAGAGCUUUUAGUAUAAUCAUGUAAUGUGAAACACUAGUCGGAAUUGAUAAUUAUUUUAAAAUCAAUAAUACUACAAAGGAAAUUAAUUUGGCUGUUUUAGAAGCGUAAGUAGGAUUUAUGGUUCUCAGGGCUGAGAGUACGGAAGAAGAUUCCUCUCUUCUGGGUUGUAGCGCCUUGUAAUCUGGAAGACGUUUACUAACAUUUAGGAGGUUCUUGAUGCCACCAUCAUCAGGGCGACGAAGGCCAUCUUAAUUUUUGAAGAUUGUCUUGUAAUAAAACUAGUUUGUUUAGG